GACGAACGCUGGCGGCGUGCUUAACACAUGCAAGUCGAACGGAAAGGCCCUGCUUGCAGGGUACUCGAGUGGCGAACGGGUGAGUAACACGUGGGCGAUCUGCCCUGCACUUCGGGAUAAGCCUGGGAAACUGGGUCUAAUACCGGAUAGGAGCCAUUUUUAGUGUGAUGGUUGGAAAGUUUUUUCGGUGUAGGAUGAGCUCGCGGCCUAUCAGCUUGUUGGUGGGGUAAUGGCCUACCAAGGCGGCGACGGGUAGCCGGCCUGAGAGGGGGGACGGCCACAUUGGGACUGAGAUACGGCCCAGACUCCUACGGGAGGCAGCAGUGGGGAAUAUUGCACAAUGGGCGCAAGCCUGAUGCAGCGACGCCGCGUGGGGGAUGACGGCCUUCGGGUUGUAAACUCCUUUCGCUAGGGACGAAGCUUUGUGUGACGGUACCUAGAUAAGAAGCACCGGCUAACUACGUG
rnacentral:rRNA from 1 species